AUGCACGCUGGCGGCGUGCCUCAUACAUGCAAGUCGAGCGAACAGAUGAGGAGCUUGCUCCUCUGACGUUAGCGGCGGACGGGUGAGUAACACGUGGAUAACCUACCUAUAAGACUGGGGUAACUUCGGGAAACCGGAGCUAAUACCGGAUAAUAUAUUGAACCGCAUGGUUCAAUAGUGAAAGACGGUUUUGCUGUCACUUAUAGAUGGAUCCGCGCCGCAUUAGCUAGUUGGUAAGGUAACGGCUUACCAAGGCAACGAUGCGUAGCCGACCUGAGAGGGUGAUCGGCCACACUGGAACUGAGACACGGUCCAGACUCCUACGGGAGGCAGCAGUAGGGAAUCUUCCGCAAUGGGCGAAAGCCUGACGGAGCAACGCCGCGUGAGUGAUGAAGGUCUUCGGAUCGUAAAACUCUGUUAUUAGGGAAGAACAAAUGUGUAAGUAACUAUGCACGUCUUGACGGUACCUAAUCAGAAAGCCACGGCUAACUACGUG
rnacentral:rRNA from 1 species